CAGGGAUUGCCCUAGUAACGGCGAGUGAAGCGGCAACAGCUCAAAUUUGAAAUCUGGCUCUUUUAGAGUCCGAGUUGUAAUUUGCAGAGGGCGCUUUGGCUUUGGCAGCGGUCCAAGUUCCUUGGAACAGGACGUCACAGAGGGUGAGAAUCCCGUACGUGGUCGCUGGCUAUUGCCGUGUAAAGCCCCUUCGACGAGUCGAGUUGUUUGGGAAUGCAGCUCUAAAUGGGAGGUACAUUUCUUCUAAAGCUAAAUAUUGGCCAGAGACCGAUAGCGCACAAGUAGAGUGAUCGAAAGAUGAAAAGCACUUUGGAAAGAGAGUCAAACAGCACGUGAAAUUGUUGAAAGGGAAGCGCUUGCAGCCAGACUUGCUUACAGUUGCUCAUCCGGGUUUCUACCCGGUGCACUCUUCUGUAGGCAGGCCAGCAUCAGUUUGGGCGGUAGGAUAAAGGUCUCUGUCACGUACCUCCUUUCGGGGAGGCCUUAUAGGGGAGACGACAUACUACCAAGCCUGGAGUUGAG
rnacentral:rRNA from 1 species